GUGGGGAAUAUUGCACAAUGGGCGCAAGCCUGAUGCAGCGACGCCGCGUGAGGGAUGGAGGCCUUCGGGUUGUAAACCUCUUUUGUUUGGGAGCAAGCCUUCGGGUGAGUGUACCUUUCGAAUAAGCGCCGGCUAACUACGUGCCAGCAGCCGCGGUAAUACGUAGGGCGCAAGCAUUAUCCGGAUUUAUUGGGCGUAAAGGGCUCGUAGGCGGCUCGUCGCGUCCGGUGUGAAAGUCCAUCGCUUAACGGUGGAUCUGCGCCGGGUACGGGCGGGCUGGAGUGCGGUAGGGGAGACUGGAAUUCCCGGUGUAACGGUGGAAUGUGUAGAUAUCGGGAAGAACACCGAUGGCGAAGGCAGGUCUCUGGGCCGUCACUGACGCUGAGGAGCGAAAGCGUGGGGAGCGAACAGGAUUAGAAACCCGUGUAGUCC
rnacentral:rRNA from 1 species